CCCCAAUAGGGAUAAGGAGCUGGUAUCAGGCACUAUUAAGCCCAAAACACCUAGCUAUGCCACACCUACAAGGGAAUUCAGCAGUGAUUAACAUUGACAAUAAGCGCAAGCUUGAUUCAGUCACAGUAAACAGAGCCGGCAAAUCUGGUGCCAGCCGCCGCGGUUACACCAUGUGGCUCAAAUUGAUUUCUACCGGCGUAAAGCGUGAUUAAAGCUAUUUUAAGUUGUAGUUAAACCGUAAUUAAGCUGUGACACGCUUAUUAUACUGAAACCCAAAAACGAAAGUUACUAUAAUAUAUUCAACUUGAACUCACGACAGCUGGGAAACAAACUGGGAUUAGAUACCCCACUAUGCCUAGCCGUAAACUUUAACUUACACUCAAAUCGCCUGGGAACUACGAGCAAAGCUUAAAACCCAAAGGACUUGACGGUACCCCACAUCCACCUAGAGGAGCCUGUCCUAUAAUCGAUAACCCCCGUUUAACCUCACCACUUCUAGCCAAUCAGCCUGUAUACCUCCGUCGUCAGCUUACCACGUGAGCGACUCUAGUGAGCUUGAUGUCCACUCGCCAAAACGUCAGGUCAAGGUGCAGCAUAUGAGAUGGGAAGAGAUGGGCUACACUUUCUAAUCUAGAAGAUACGAAAGACUAUUUAUGAAACCUAGUCAGAAGGCGGAUUUAGUAGUAAAAAGAGAUAAGAGAGCUCUUUUUAACAAGGCACUGGGGUGUGUACACACCGCCCGUCACCCUCCUCAAAGCCAAUAAAACAGUAUUUAACCACAAAAAGCAAAAAAGAAGAGGCAGNNNNNNNNNNNNNNNNNNNNNNNNNNNNNNNNNNNNUUGGAAA
rnacentral:rRNA from 1 species